CGCUGAUAGAUGGGCAUGCGUCCCAUUAGAUAGUUGGUGAGGUAACGGCUCACCAAGUCCACGAUGGAUAGGGGUUCUGAGAGGAAGGUCCCCCACACUGGUACUGAGACACGGACCAGACUCCUACGGGAGGCAGCAGUGAGGAAUAUUGGUCAAUGGGCGAGAGCCUGAACCAGCCAAGUCGCGUGAAGGAUGAAGGAUCUAUGGUUUGUAAACUUCUUUUAUAUGGGAAUAAAGUGAGGAACGUGUUCCUUUUUGUAUGUACCAUAUGAAUAAGCAUCGGCUAACUCCGUGCCAGCAGCCGCGGUAAUACGGAGGAUGCGAGCGUUAUCCGGAUUUAUUGGGUUUAAAGGGUGCGUAGGUGGUUAAUUAAGUCAGCGGUGAAAGUUUGUGGCUCAACCAUAAAAUUGCCGUUGAAACUGGUUGACUUGAGUAUAUUUGAGGUAGGCGGAAUGCGUGGUGUAGCGGUGAAAUGCAUAGAUAUCACGCAGAACUCCGAUUGCGAAGGCAGCUUACUAAACUAUAACUGACACUGAAGCACGAAAGCGUGGGGAUCAAACAGGAUUAGAUACCCUGGUAGUCCACGCAGUAAA
rnacentral:rRNA from 1 species